GACAAAUGCACGCAGUUGCUGGGAGGAGACAAGCCUGCGUACCUGGCCAAGACAGACGUGCGAACGCACGGACGCGGACAGGGACGCAAGGAAGGAUCGGACUGGCUAGGAGGCAAUCAGGCAGAGGUGCGACCCCGUAAGGAAGCGGCAGAGCAGCGUGAGGACGUGGAAAGAGAUAGAUUUGAUCAACGCCUCUAACCAGCUAAGACGCGGCCACCAUCAAGAGGAGGCGGCAGAGAAGCACGACGACGUGAAUAGCCUUGAUCAACGCGUCUACCAAGCUUAGUAAAGGGACGUCACCACGCAAAGCGCUGAAGCGCAUCGUCCAUAUUAGUGUUGGGGCGAUCACGUGGCUAAAGGCGUUCUUCCUCCCCAGGGCGCAGCCACAAUCAGGAACAGCGGCGGCAAGGGACGCCACGUGUCGCGAGGAGAGACACCGCAUGAUUGCCCCCCUCCUGUCUGGCCAAAGUUUUAUUAAUGAUCAUCAAAUACUGUGCGGCACCAUGGGGAAGAAGUGUUGGGUUGUGGGCUGCAAGAAGGUCUACCUGACCAACAAGGCGUUUGAGCAGGAGCAGGCCACCAGGGGGACCCCAAUCACUCCCUACAAAUUCCCCAGGGUUAACGAACCAAGGCCAGGUGGCUCAAGAACAGAGGGAUGAAAACAAUGACCCUAGUGCCGAAAGGUACUGUUGCUCCUUGCACUUCAAAGAGAGCGGCGUCCACAGUGCACGGAGGGAGGUGGAGGCAGCGGCUUGGCGAGGACGCCGUGCCGACCACAGCACGGCCUACCUGCCCUGGAUGCAGGAAACGCGUCCCGUCUCCAAGAGGUCCACGUCCUCAUCGACUGCCAGUUGGUUCAUACAGGUUGCGGAGGUGGCGAGGAUGGAGCAGGAGUUCAUGGACAGCGACAAGUUCACCUCCUUUGAAGACCUCAAGGAGAAGAUCAAGACAGAGAUACCAACAAA